rnacentral:rRNA from 2 species
UAACAAGGAUUCCCCUAGUAACGGCGAGCGAAGCGGGAAGAGCUCAAAUUUGAAAGCUGGCGUCUUCGGCGUCCGCGUUGUAAUCUCGAGACGUGUUUUCCGUGCGGCUCUAUGGACAAGUCCCUUGGAACAGGGCAUCGUAGAGGGUGAAAAUCCCGUACUUGCCAUGGAAGUACCGUGCUUUGUGAUACACGCUCCAAGAGUCGAGUAGUUUGGGAUUGCUGCUCAAAGUGGGUGGUAGACUCCAUCUAAAGCUAAAUAUCGGGGAGAGACCGAUAGCGAACAAGUACCGUGAGGGAAAGAUGAAAAGCACUUUGGAAAGAGAGUUAAAAGUACGUGAAAUUGUCGAAAGGGAAGCACUUGAAGUCAGCCAUGCUGCUUGAGACUCAGCCUGGCUUUUGCUUGGUGUAUUUCUCGGUAGCAAGCCAGCAUUGGUUUGUGUCGUCGGAGAAGCGUAUGGGGAAUGUGGCAUCCUCGGAUGUGUUAUAGCCCUGUGCAGGAUACGACGACGUAGACCAAGGAACGCAGUGUGCCCUCUGGGCGGGUCUUCGGACACCUUCACACUUAGGAUGCUGGCGUAAU